AUGACUGGGAUAAAUACCUCCUCUCCUCAGAAGCCCUCUUCUAUCAGAGAAGUAGAUGCUAAUAAGCCCUUACUGUAUCAGCCUACUGUAUACUUACUGUAUAAGCCCUACUGUAUCACCCUUGGGGACAGCAUGGAGUUGAUUAAGGAGGUAUUGGGGAGGCAUUGGGGAGGCAAGGACAAUCCCCAGACAUGGACUGUAUAUCUCGAAACAAGACACUGGAAAUCUGAUGCAAAAGAAUUUGCAUGGGAAAAGAAAAGGGGGGAUUGAUUAAGGAGGUAUUGGGGAGGCAUUGGGGAGGCAAGGACAAUCCCCAGACAUGGACUGUAUAUCUCGAAACAAGACACUGGAACUCAUGAUAAGGAAGCGGCAGACGGACAGAGAAACAAAUGUAAGGACUAUAAAUCUCAAAAUUGGACAUUGGAAUUCAUUAUAAAGAUACAACAAACAGAAGAAUUAGCAACAACCAGCUCUCGCAAUUAAGAAACGUGCCAAUUCAGCAGAUUCCUGACCAAAGGUGAAAAGUACACUGUGAGGAAGACUCGGGGUCUUCCUCCCAAAGACCCCUGCCCACGUCCCAAAGACCCCUGCCCACAAUUCUUGGGAGGCUCUACGCAGGCGCAAGGUGCCAAAAGGCUAAUUAGCAUGAGAAGCGAGGGAAGGCGGGGAUAGGUAAUGCAUAUGUAUAGGUGCUUGUAGAAUAUUGAUAGAUUGAUUGUAUAAAUUCAAGACUGCUUUCCGCUUUGGGUAUGCACGAUAGGUGGAGAGAUCCCCCGUGCAUCCAGCGCUGCAAUAAAGAAUAUACCACUUAAAGGAAUUUCGGCUUCGAUCUUUGAAUCAGAGUGUCAUUUAGAAGAUGAAUAGCAAAGGCCUGCUAUGCAAGUUCUUCUACUUAGAAAAGCUAAGGCCUAAGCAGUCACCUGGCCAUUUGAAGGGCCAAUUCCUUUUAAACCAAUAACUUCUCAUUUCCUCAAAACCAGAAAUUUACCUACAGGGACCGGAGAGCAAAAGGUAUCACACCUGUCACCACCUGCUUCAUCUCCUGCCACUGAAACCCAGCACACUUUCCCCCCCCUCAGCGCAGCUCUCCAUGAAGAACUGCAUUAUGAAGAUGCUUUUCUCUCUCUCCCCCCCCAGGUCUCCAAUACUCCCUAUAUCUGCACUCAAGAAGUCAGCUCCCCCUCAAGUUACCCCAACUUCCAGGAAUACUCUUCCUUUUUAACAAUGGGCACGUGGCUUAGAUACCCUGCCUUACAGACGCACACCACUAUGGCCCAAGCACAGCAUCACCAAGAUGUAUCACUCUGGAGCAGUUGGCACUAGCAGCCUGACACCUUCCCUGUACACUUUCCAGGAACUUGCCACCAAGGAGCUUUCCAAGCUGGAAAUUCCACCUGUUUUACUUUAUUUACAAGUGCAGUUUUGUCCUGGUUUCAGUUAGCACAGAAUUAAUUUUCUUCCUAGUAGCUGGUGGAAUGCUGUGUUUUGGCUUAGGAUGAGAAGAGUGCUGAUAACACCCCGAUGCUUUAAUUGUUGCAGAGCAGUGCUUAUACUAAGCCAAGGACAUCUCAGCCUUUUGCUCUGUCCUGCCAACGGGCAGGCUGGGGGUGCAGUAAGAGCUGGGAGGGGACAGACCCAGGACAGGUGACCCAAACUAGCCAAAGGGAUAUUCCAUACCAUCUGACGUCAUGCUAAACAAUAUAUAGGGGUGGCUAGCCGGGGGGAGGGGGCCGGACUGCUCGGGGUUAGGCUGGGCAUCGGUCAGCGAGUGGUGAGCAAUUGCAUUGUGCAUCACUUGUUUGUACAUAUUAUUAUUACUUUCCUAUUAUCACCAUUGUAUCAUUAUUAUUAUUAUUGUUAUUAUUAUUUUUGUUAUUAUUAUUUUCCUGUCUUAUUAAACUGUCUUUAUCUCAACUCACGGGCUUCACUCUCCAUUUCUCUCCCCCGUCCCAGAGAGGGAGGGGGGAGGGUGAGCGAACG
rnacentral:lncRNA from 1 species